rnacentral:lncRNA from 1 species
AUGGAUAUGUUUGAAUUGUUGCUAGUAAUUUGUUUCUGCGUUGCAUGGACCGAGCUCUAGACUUUCCGAUGAAUCUUGCAAAUCCACCUUUUUUCUUCUUUGAGGGAUCUUGCAAAUCCACCUUUGUAAAACAAGGAAGAACACCCAUUUAGCAAGGGCGUCUAUCGACAAAAUUCAAACCUACUCUUGCACGAUCACAUGGAAACUGAUCGAUCCAACAGCAUUAGUUCAUCACAUAGGAAAUGUUUCCACCAUAUACUUAUACGGAAAUGAUGUAUAGUAAACGUUCU